rnacentral:rRNA from 1 species
UCCGUAGGCGGUGUGGCAAGUCGGAAGUGAAAUCUCUGGGCUUAACUCAGAGGCUGCUUCCGAAACUGCCGUGCUAGAGUGCGAGAGAGGCAAGUGGAAUUGCGGGUGUAGCGGUGAAAUGCGUAGAUAUCCGCAGGAACAUCCGAGGCGAAAGCGGCUUGCUGGAUCGCAACUGACGCUGAGGGACGAAAGCUAGGGGAGCAAACAAGAUUAGAUACCCUGGUAGUCCUAGCCCUAAACCAUCAGGACUUGGGGUUUGCCCUGUACGGGGCAAGUCCCGUAGCUAACGCGUUAAGUCCUGCGCCUGGGGAGUACGGUCGCAAGGCUGAA